AGGGAAGUAAGAAUUCUCUCUUUCAAAGACUAUUGAUGCAUUUCAACCUUCUAGAAAUGAGCUGUUGAGACCAGCCAAAAAGCUCCUUUGUUCAUUGCUGAAACCCUGCCUUCUCAGGCAGAGGACCUGCAUCUCUCUCUGACCUGCUCCUGCAGAGGUAACUCCCUACAGCCCCAAUAGAAAAGCAGAACACAAGUAAAGGUUGCCUUCAAAUGGGGACAUCGGGAGAAGGAAGAGGAUGAGGACUGACAACCGGCCUCAGAGAAAGAGUCAUGGUUCAUCAAAAACAAGCCAACAGGAGGGGCAGGUACAUUUAAAAUGCUCCAAGC